AGAUCUGUUCUUUGUGUUACACAGGGUCU
rnacentral:piRNA from 1 species